GACGAACGCUGGCGGCGUGCUUAACACAUGCAAGUCGAACGGACAGGCCCUGCUUUUGCGGGGUGCUCGAGUGGCGAACGGGGGAGUAACACGUGUGUAACCUGCCCUUGUCUGUGGGGUAACUCCUGGAAAAUGGGGCUAAUAUCGGAUAGGAGCUCCUGCUGCAUGGGGGGGGAUGGAAAGAUUCGGCGGUUGGGGAUGUACUCGCGGGUUAUCGGCUUGUUGGUGGGGUAGUGGCUUACCAAGGUUUCGACGGGUACGCGGCCUGAGAGGGUGACCGGCGGCACUGGGACUGAGAUACGGCACAGACUGCUACGGGACGCAGCAGUGGGGAAUAUUGCACAAUGGACGGAAGCCUGAUGAAGCAGCGCCGCGUGCGGGAUGACGGUCUUCGGGUUGUAAACCGCUUUCGCCUGUGACGAAGCGUGAGUGACGGUAAUGGGUAAAGAAGCACCGGCUAACUACGUG
rnacentral:rRNA from 1 species